GUAGCUGUACGGAUACACUGGAUUGUGAUUCCUGUUGUCGUGGGUUCGAGCCCCAUCAGCCACCCCA
rnacentral:tRNA from 1 species